rnacentral:lncRNA from 1 species
GCUUGCUGAUAAUUUCGGUUAUGUUGUGGCUGCCUAUUACUCAAUAUGAUCUCAUUUCAUAUCAUCAAUUUCAGGAACAUUAUCUCAGCUGUCGUUGAUUUCAGAACAGAUAGUUAGCAUUGUACCUUCAAGGGACUAUCCUUUUGCCUACUGAGCAAACAAAACAAAUGUGUAUAUAUAUUUAUUUAAGUGAAACAACAUGCUCCCAUUUUUGGUCAAUCGGUGGAUCUGACUAAUACAUAACUACAUAUAUAUGUGUGAGGUAUUAUUCAUGGGUCAUUUUUCGUAAUUCGAGUAAGCUGAAACUGAUGGUCUCAGAUGGUUUGUGUAUUAACUUUGAUCAGAACCUGCAUCUACAAAUACUGAGUAGAGGGUUGCCUUUUGUGCAGGAAUUUGCAGCAGGAUCCCUUGACUGCUCUCCGCUUGUCCUCACUCCUUAGACUUUCCCUUUGCUUAUCACCAUACAUUUUAUUCAGAGUGGUGUCAAGAUGCAUCUCCUCUGCCAAGAUGAUGGGCAGAGGGCCUAAGCUCUAGGUGAGCUCCUCCACCAAGCAUGUGUUGUAUAUUGUAUGAUGUUUGCAAUCUAAUGCUUUGCUCUGAUAUUUUAAUUUCAUGUAACAUGCAUACUCUCAUGGAUCUGUACGCAUGUGUUUGUAAGAACUUGUACGCAUGAGUUUGUAAGAAGUUGAAUGAUGGUAUGAUGCUUUAUUUUCUACAAAGUUGGGCUAUAUGCUCACUGCUGCUUCCUGAUAAUUGUGCAUGUAACUGGCUUUCUUCACUUCAUUUAAAUGAUUAUUAUGUUUUGGGCUUUGACUUAUGCAUAUAACAACACUACCAAGCCAGUUUGUUGUACAUCUUCUGUUUUUGGUUGUUUGGACUCAAGAGUAACUCAGAAGUUUGAAAAAAUGUACUAUGAUAAUAUUGCUCAAACAUAUGGUGCUUUUGUAGGGUCAAAUGGUGGGAAGUAUCAAGUCGAAGAUAUUAUGGCUUUUGUACAUAUUGUAUUUUCUUUAAAUGGAAGUUGAUGUCGGUUUGGUGAUCGAAGACUUGGGCUCUUCCAUAGUGUUUUGUAGAGUGAUCGAACUUAAGUCUCUUAUGAACUAGGCCCAUAUUUUAUAACAUGCCACAACUUGUAUGUUGACUUGAGUAUUUUUUUCAAUGGUUGUAGCAAGGAAAACUAAUGGGUCUUCUAUAUAUGUUGAAUAAAUGCGUUGGUCAAUGGCAUUUUGUGAUGAAUAAAAGAGUGUAAUUGUUGGUAUAUCUAUUGCAAAGUGAACAUGAAUUGAAUAUUUUAAAUUUAUUUUCAUGUUAAUAUAUGUCGCAUUUGCAUUUGUGCUGAAA